UACGGAGGGGGCGAGCGUUAUUCGGAAUUAUUGGGCGUAAAGGGCGCGUAGGCGGCUUGAUGUGUCAAAGGUGAAAUCCCUCGGCUCAACUGAGGAACUGCCUUUGAAACUGUCUGGCUUGAGGCCGGGAGAGGGUAGCGGAAUUCCCAGUGUAGCGGUGAAAUGCGUAGAUACUGGGAGGAACACCGGUGGCGAGGGCGGCUACCUGGACCGGUUCUGACGCUGAUGCGCGAAAGCGUGGGUAGCAAACAGG
rnacentral:rRNA from 1 species